UACGAAGGGGGCUAGCGUUGCUCGGAAUCACUGGGCGUAAAGGGUGCGUAGGCGGGUCUUUAAGUCAGGGGUGAAAUCCUGGAGCUCAACUCCAGAACUGCCUUUGAUACUGAAGAUCUUGAGUUCGGGAGAGGUGAGUGGAACUGCGAGUGUAGAGGUGAAAUUCGUAGAGAUCCGGAGGAACACCAGUGGCGAAGGCGACACGCUGGGCCAUACCUGACGCUAAAGCGCGACAGCAUGGGGAGCAAACGGG
rnacentral:rRNA from 1 species